AUCAACGCUGGCGGCGUGCCUAACACAUGCAAGUCGAACGCGACUUGGGGCUUCGGCCUCAGUUGAGUGGCGAACGGGUGAGUAACACGUGGGUGACCUACCUUCGAAUGGGGGAUAACGUCCCGAAAGGGACGCUAAUACCGCAUAACAUCCUGCCUUUGAACAGGCGGAGAUCAAAGCCGGGGAUCGCAAGACCUGGCGUUUGAAGAGGGGCCCGCGUCCGAUUAGCUAGUUGGUGAGGUAACGGCUCACCAAGGCGACGAUCGGUAGCCGGCCUGAGAGGCGGACGGCCACACUGGGACUGAGACACGGCCCAGACUCCUACGGAGGCAGCAGUGGGGGAUUGUUCGCAAUGGGCGCAAGCCUGACGACGCAACGCCGCGUGGAGGAUGAAGGUCUUCGGAUUGUAAACUCCUGUUGCCCGGGACGAAAAGCUCCGACCUAACACGUC
rnacentral:rRNA from 1 species